AGUCGAGGGGUAGUUGUCUUCGGAUAAUGAGACCGGCGCACGGGUGCGUAACGCGUAUACAAUCUACCUUUUACAGAGGGAUAGCCCAGAGAAAUUUGGAUUAAUACCUCAUAGUAUUUUUGAAUGGCAUCAUUUGAUUAUUAAAGUUCCAACGGUAAAAGAUGAGUAUGCGUCCCAUUAGCUAGAUGGUAAGGUAACGGCUUACCAUGGCAACGAUGGGUAGGGGUCCUGAGAGGGAGAUCCCCCACACUGGUACUGAGACACGGACCAGACUCCUACGGGAGGCAGCAGUGAGGAAUAUUGGACAAUGGGCGCAAGCCUGAUCCAGCCAUGCCGCGUGCAGGAAGAAGGUCCUAUGGAUUGUAAACUGCUUUUAUACAGGAAGAAACACACCCUCGUGAGGCUACUUGGCGGUACUGUAUGAAUAAGGACCGGCUAACUCCGUGCCAGCAGCCGCGGUAAUACAGAGGGACCCAGCGUUAUCCGGAAUCAUUGGGUUUAAAGGGGCCCUAGGCCGUUUAGUAAGUCAGUG
rnacentral:rRNA from 1 species